rnacentral:rRNA from 1 species
CACCUCUAGCAUUACCAGUAUUAGAGGCACUGCCUGCCCAGUGACAUUAGUUAAACGGCCGCGGUAUCCUGACCGUGCAAAGGUAGCAUAAUCAUUUGUUCCUUAAUUAGGGACUUGUAUGAAUGGCCCCACGAGGGUUUAACUGUCUCUUACUUUUAAUCAGUGAAAUUGACCUUCCCGUGAAGAGGCGGGAAUAUGACAAUAAGACGAGAAGACCCUAUGGAGCUUAAAUUAAUAUGCUCAACAAAAUUUAAAUUUAACCCAACAGGAAUAAUCACAAUUUAACUGAGCAACAAAUUUUGGUUGGGGUGACCUCGGAGUAUAACAAAACCUCCGAGUGAUUUUAACUAAGACACACUCGUCAAAGUUACAUAACUUAUUGAUCCAAUCAUAUUGAUCAACGAAACAAGUUACCCUAGGGAUAACAGCGCAAUCCUAUCCGAGAGUUCAUAUCGACAAUAGGGUUUACGACCUCGAUGUUGGAUCAGGACACCCAAAUGGUGCAGCAGCUAUUAAAGGUUCGUUUGUUCAACG